rnacentral:rRNA from 1 species
UCUACGGGAGGCAGCAGUAGGGAAUCUUCGGCAAUGGACGAAAGUCUGACCGAGCAACGCCGCGUGAGUGAGGAAGGUUUUCGGAUCGUAAAACUCUGUUGUUAGAGAAGAACAAGGACGUUAGUAACUGAACGUCCCCUGACGGUAUCUAACCAGAAAGCCACGGCUAACUACGUGCCAGCAGCCGCGGUAAUA